UAACGCGUGAGAAUCUGCCUUCAGGUUGGGGACAACAGUUGGAAACGACUGCUAAUACCCAAUGUGCCGAGAGGUGAAAGCUUUAGUGCCUGAAGAUGAGCUCGCGUCUGAUUAGCUAGUUGGUGGGGUAAUGGCCUACCAAGGCGACGAUCAGUAGCUGGUCUGAGAGGAUGAUCAGCCACACUGGGACUGAGACACGGCCCAG
rnacentral:rRNA from 1 species